CCCCCCCCCCCCUUUUUUUUUUGUUGAUGUGGCCUGCAACACAAGUGCUGGAAUUUAAAAUGGCCCACUGGUCGAAUAAGGUUGAGCAUCACUGGUUUAGAUGGAUAACUCUAGCUAUCAAAAAACAACCUGGUCACACACUGGUCAAUGUUUUUAGGGAACUGGAAGUAAAAAAAAAAAUUCAAAUAUAUUGAUAUAUUAUUUCAUCUAUUAUUUACAUCUUCAUCUAACUUUCCCUGUUAGACCUAGUAAACUAUUUUAUUUGUUAACCGGCACUAUUGGCUUUGUUUUAUUAACUGGUUACUUUGACUAAUUGAAAUCUGAAAGCUAUUUUUAAAUGAAUGAAUUUGUAUAAUUGCAAUAAACACCACUGUAGUAAUAAGACAAAGCCAAGGGGACAUUUUGAAACAACUCUGUGGUAUACAGUAAGAUUUUAUUUUCAAACUUUAAACAUACAAGUCAAUGAAAGACUAGAAUAUUUCUACAACACAUUCAUUUCCAGUUAUCAAAUAAAAUGCAGAAAUAUUGACACAAGUUCACUGGUCAAGGGUAAAUUUGCUCUUGUGUUGUGGUGUACAUAAACAAAUGUUUUCAGUUGAUCUUUACUAACCAAACAGUAAGUUUGAUAUUGGAUCCUGGACAUCUUUUUCCCAAUCAAUGUGAAUUUGAACAAAUUUUAUAACAUUAGUACCCAAGUGUAUAACUACUUUAAAAAACAACAAAGAUUAUAGAAAAAGAAAAUUUGCUUUCAGCAUACAAUAAUGUUCCACUUUAAUUAAGUGCAGAAAUCUUCAUCUAAUAAUAAUAACAGAGGGACUGAGAGGGUAUGAUUUUAAUCAUGGAUCAUUAUUAAGGACAAACUCAAGUGCAAACCAAUCAGUUAUCACUAAGACCUCUUUCAGCUGGAGGGGGUGGCGAUAUUAAAAUAUCAAACAUUUUGAUCCAAUUUUUAGGUUAGUUUGGUUCUAGACGAGAUCAAAUUUUGUUUCUUGAAAUUCAAUAAAAUUUGAAUUGCUUUGAACUAAUUACAAACUUUGAAGAAUUUUAGCAAGAACUUAGAACAUGAAAAUCAUUAUGUACAACAAGAUAUAGCUUUACAAAACUAACAAUGAAGAUGAAGUUUUUAAUUAAUUUUGUUAAGAAUUCAUAAGCAGCUAACAGUUAGCUCGUCAACAGGCAGGAUGGCUGCUUGGAAGUUCAGUAUGGAACUGUCGUUUGGUCG